UUGGAGGGCAAGUCUGGUGCCAGCAGCCGCGGUAAUUCCAGCUCCAAUAGCGUAUAUUAAAGUUGUUGCAGUUAAAAAGCUCGUAGUUGAAUUUCGGGAUCAGAUUGUCGGUCGUGCCUCGGUACGCACUGGCAUUAUUGGUUCCUACCUUCUGAAGAACCGCGAUGUCAUUAAUUUGGUGUCGUGGGGAAUCAGGACUGUUACUUUGAAAAAAUUAGAGUGUUUAAAGCAGGCGCACGCUUGAAUACAUUAGCAUGGAAUAAUGAAAUAGGACGUUUGAUUCUAUUUUGUUGGUUUCUAGGAUCGACGUAAUGAUUAAUAGGGAUAGUUGGGGGCAUUAGUAUUCAAUUGUCGGAGGUGAAAUUCUUGGAUUUAUUGAAGACUAACUACUGCGAAGGCAUUUGCCAAGGAUGUUUUCAUUAAUCAAGAACGAAAGUUAGGGGAUUGAAGACGAUCAGAUACCGUCGUAGUCUUAACCAUAACUAUGCCGACUAGGGAUCGGAUGAUGUUGAUUUUUUAAUGGCUCAUUCGGCGCCUUACGGGAAACCAAAGUGUUUGGGUUC
rnacentral:rRNA from 1 species